AUACGGAGGAUCCGAGUGUUAUCCGGAUUUAUUGGGUUUAAAGGGAGCGUAGGCGGGAAGUCAAGUCAGCUGUGAAAUGUAGUCGCUCAACGUCUGCACUGCAGUUGAAACUGGUUUUCUUGAGUGCGUAAGGGGCAGGCGGAAUUCGUCGUGUAGCGGUGAAAUGCUUAGAUAUGACGAAGAACUCCGAUCGCGAAGGCAGCCGGCCGGGCCGCAACUGACGCUGAAGCUCGAAGGUGCGGGUAUCGAACAGGAUUAGAUACCCUGGUAGUCCGCACAGUAAACGAUGGAUACUCGCUGUCGGCGAUAAACGGUCGGUGGCCAAGCGAAAGCGUUAAGUAUCCCACCUGGGGAGUACGCCGGCAACGGUGAAACUCAAAGGAAUUGACGGGG
rnacentral:rRNA from 1 species